GUAAUUGCAACAAGUAUUUAUAUGAUAGUUCCAUCUUUAUAUAUAUACAAAAUGCACCAUAAACUACAAGUCUACAUGCAACAUCAUCACGGUAACACAUUUUUACUUGCGUCGCAAUUUCAUAGAACAUUGGUUUCAUCUUACCACUAUAUCCGCGCUUGGAUCGCCACCCUAAACUUUCAAUCUGAUACUAACAUAGGGUUUAUUUCAUGUUUUACAUGCCUGUGACUCCUUAUGUACAAGUUUAAGUCACUUUAGGAGGAACUACAGGAGCUAGCUGAACAAUGAGCAUUUCACCUUUCUAUGGGUUUUCCUUUCUGCAAAUCGACGUUGUCUUCGUUCAUAGAUAGUCCUGAGAAGUGAGACUUCAAGCCAAUCCAGCAUUGGUAAUAAUCGUGAUCCAUAAACGGAGAUUCAAGAGCCCACGGACAGACUCGGGGUACUAGGCAAGACUCAAACAUGAAAGCCAUGGUAUCAGCUAUUCUAUGUGGACCAGCUUCAUUUCCAAGUGCAAUGGUUGCCUCAAAUGUUUUGGUAUCAGGACCAUGAGGAGUCAUGCAGCUGUGAAGGCUUGCCCCGCCAGGGUGAAAACCAUCAGCUUUUGCCUCGUAUCCGCCAUAGAUUAGACCCAUAAAUUCGCUCAUACAAUUGCGAUGAUAAUAUGGAGGACGGAAGGUGUGUUCAGCAACCAACCACCGGGGAGGGAAAAUGACAAAGUCAAGCAACGCCACACCAGGUUUAUCUGUUGGUGCUGUCAAAACUGUGUUAAUUGAAGGAUCACUGUGGUCCAUCAAUACAGUAUUGUAAGGGCAGAACUUGCUUAAAUCAUACUUAUAAGGAACAUAAUUGCCAUGCCAAGCGACCACAUUAAAAGGAGAGAAGUCCUGCUUCGCAGUGAAGAGUUCACCACCAUACUUCUGCACAAUAGUGUAACCUGGACGGGAGCCAUCUCCGUACCAGGCAACAGGAACAAGAAAAUCCCUUGGAGCAGCUAGACCAUUUGCGCCUAUUGGCCCCAGAUCAGGAAGUUGAAGAUGAGUUCCAAAAGUUUCAGCGACAUAACCACGUGAAGGUCCAUCCGGAAGGUCAACAGCAAACCUAUAUCCUUGAGGCAAAAUCACAAUUUCACCAGGACAAACCUGCAAUCUUCCGCAUUCAGUAGUAAUCCACAGCCUUCCUUUUUGAGGAACAAUCAGAAAGUCGCCAUCAGCAUUGCAGAAGGCAGAGUUCUCCAUUGAUUUGUUGGCAGUAUACAUGUGAAUUG
rnacentral:misc_RNA from 1 species